rnacentral:rRNA from 1 species
UACAGAGGGGGCAAGCGUUUGUUCGGAAUUACUGGGCGUAAAGGGCGCGUAGGCGGCCGCCUAAGUCAGACGUGAAAUCCCUCGGCUCAACCGGGGAACUGCGUCUGAUACUGGGUGGCUUGAAUCCGGGAGAGGGAUGCGGAAUUCCAGGUGUAGCGGUGAAAUGCGUAGAUAUCUGGAGGAACACCGGUGGCGAAGGCGGCAUCCUGGACCGGCAUUGACGCUGAGGCGCGAAAGCCAGGGGAGCAAAGCGGGG